GAUGAACGCUGGCGGCGUGCCUAAUACAUGCAAGUCGAGCGAAGCGGGGAGGGGGGAGUAACACGUGGAUAACCUGCUAUAAGACUGGGAUAACGUCGGGAAACCGUAGCUAAAGCGGAUACUUAGAGAUGGAUCCGGGCUGCAUUAGCUAGUUGGUAAGGUAACGGCUUAGCAAGGCAACGAUGCAUAGCCGACCUGAGAGGGUGAUCGGCCACACUGGAACUUAGACACGGUCCAGACUCCUACGGGAGGCAGCAGUAGGGAAUCUUCCGCAAUGGGCGAAAGCCUGACGGAGCAACGCCGCGUGAGUGAUGAAGGUCUUCGGAUCGUAAAACUCUGUUAUUAGGGAAGCGGUACCUAAUCAGAAAGCCACGGCUAACUACGUGCCAGCCGCCGCGGUAAUUC
rnacentral:rRNA from 1 species